rnacentral:rRNA from 1 species
UACGAAGGGGGCGAGCGUUGUUCGGAUUUACUGGGCGUAAAGGGCGCGCAGGCGGCGACAUUUGUCAGGCGUGAAAGCCCGGGCUUAACCUGGGAACUGCGUUUGAUACGGUGUGGCUAGAGUUCGGGAGAGGGAUGGCAGGAAUUCCAGGUGUAGCGGUGAAAUGCGUAGAUAUCUGGAGGAAUACCGGUGGCGAAGGCGGCAUCCUGGACCGACAUUGACGCUGAACGGCGAAAGCUAGGGGAGCAAACGGG